rnacentral:miRNA from 1 species
UGCCUGUCUUCACUUGCUGUGC